rnacentral:lncRNA from 1 species
UCUUUACAAAUUUUUUUUGACAAAUUCACCAUGAUUCUACCAUAAGAUCGAAAAUACACUAAACUCACCUGCUUGACCUGAUUUUUUUAAAGAUUUUAUUUUGUAGUUAAAAAAGCGGAAAUAUUUAUAAAAUAUAAAAUUGAAAAUUGAAAAUUUUGUAUAGAAACUAAAAUAAAAAAUAGAUAUUUAACCCUUAAAACCCCAAUAUUUUUCUAAACCUUGGUUUCUAAAAAAGUGUAUUCAAUCUUGGUCUUUGG